rnacentral:rRNA from 1 species
UACGUAGGGUGCGAGCGUUGUCCGGAAUUAUUGGGCGUAAAGAGCUUGUAGGCGGUCUGUCGCGUCUGCUGUGAAAAUCCGGGGCUCAACCUCGGGCCUGCAGUGGGUACGGGCAGACUAGAGUGCGGUAGGGGAGAUUGGAAUUCCUGGUGUAGCGGUGAAAUGCGCAGAUAUCAGGAGGAACACCGGUGGCGAAGGCGGGUCUCUGGGCCGAUACUGACGCUGAGGAGCGAAAGCGUGGGGAGCGAACAGG